GACGAACGCUGGCGGCGUGCCUAAUACAUGCAAGUAGAACGCUGAAGGAGGAGCUUGCUCUUCUGGAUGAGUUGCGAACGGGUGAGUAACGCGUAGGUAACCUGCCUGGUAGCGGGGGAUAACUAUUGGAAACGAUAGCUAAUACCGCAUAAGAGUAGAUGUUGCAUGACAUUUACUUAAAAGGUGCAAUUGCAUCACUACCAGAUGGACCUGCGUUGUAUUAGCUAGUUGGUGGGGUAACGGCUUACCAAGGCGACGAUACAUAGACGACCUGAGAGGGUGAUCGGCCACACUGGGAAUGAGACACGGCCCAGACUCCUACGGGAGGGAGCAGUAGGGAAUCUUCGGCAAUGGACGGAAGUCUGACCGAGCAACGCCGCGUGAGUGAAGAAGGUUUUCGGAUCGUAAAGCUCUGUUGUAAGAGAAGAACGAGUGUGAGAGUGGAAAGUUCACACUGUGACGGUAUCUUACCAGAAAGGGACGGCUAACUACGUG
rnacentral:rRNA from 1 species